rnacentral:rRNA from 1 species
GACGAACGCUGGCGGCGUGCUUAACACAUGCAAGUCGAACGGAAAGGCCCUGCUUUUGUGGGGUGCUCGAGUGGCGAACGGGUGAGUAACACGUGAGUAACCUGCCCUUGACUUUGGGAUAACUUCAGGAAACUGGGGCUAAUACCGGAUAGGAGCUCCUGCUGCAUGGUGGGGGUUGGAAAGUUUCGGCGGUUGGGGAUGGACUCGCGGCUUAUCAGCUUGUUGGUGGGGUAGUGGCUUACCAAGGCUUUGACGGGUAGCCGGCCUGAGAGGGUGACCGGCCACAUUGGGACUGAGAGACGGACCAGACUCCUACGGGAGGCAGCAGUGGGGAAUAUUGCACAAUGGGCGGAAGCCUGAUGCAGCAACGCCGCGUGCGGGAUGACGGCCUUCGGGUUGUAAACCGCUUUCGCCUGUGACGAAGCGUGAGUGACGGUAAUGGGUAAAGAAGCACCGGCUAACUACGUG